rnacentral:lncRNA from 1 species
CCUUGUUUAGGAAAACUACUAUUCCUUUGUUGCCUUGUUAAUCCCCUGGUUUAGACAUCUUUUACAGUUUCAUGCUCUUGGUUAAGACACCACUUUUACAAUUUCAUUCUCUGGCCCUAUCCAGAUGUCUUCCAUCAUAUAUGGCCUUGUCCAUAAUCAUUUCAAUCAUCCAUGGUCCGUCUUAAACACUUCGAUCAUCUUUGGCCUCAUCUAAAACAUUUCAUUCACUCUAUGACACUUG